rnacentral:rRNA from 1 species
GCUUGUCUCAAAGAUUAAGCCAUGCAUGUCUAAGUAUAAACAAAUCUAUACGUGAAACUGCGAAUGGCUCAUUAUAUCAGUUAUAGUUUAUUUGAUGGUUCAUACUACUUGGAUAACCGUAGUAAUUCUAGAGCUAAUACAUGCGUCAAAACCCGACUCCUGGGAGGGUUGUAUUUAUUAGAUGGAAACCAAUGCGGGGCAACCCGGUAUAUGGUGAUUCAUAAUAACUUUCGGAUCGAUCUUCGGAUCGAUGCAUCAUUCAAGUUUCUGCCCUAUCAACUUUCGAUGGUACGGUAUUGGCCUACCAUGGUUACCACGGGUAACGGGGAAUUAGGGUUCGGUUCCGGAGAGGGGGCCUGAGAAAUGGCCACCACAUCCAAGGAAGGCAGCAGG